UACGUAGGGUGCAAGCGUUGUCCGGAAUUAUUGGGCGUAAAGAGCUCGUAGGCGGUCUGUCGCGUCUGCUGUGAAAACCUGGGGCUUAACCCCGGGCCUGCAGUGGGUACGGGCAGACUAGAGUGCGGUAGGGGAGACUGGAAUUCCUGGUGUAGCGGUGAAAUGCGCAGAUAUCAGGAAGAACACCCGUGGCGAAGGCGGUUCUCUGGGACGGUACUGACGCUGAGGAGCGAAAGUGUGGGGAGCGAACAGG
rnacentral:rRNA from 1 species